rnacentral:tRNA from 1 species
UGGCUCAAUGGUAGAGCGUUCGACUCAAAUACCAAAGGUCGCGGGUUCGAAUCCCAU